CUAACACUUUAUCACUUAAUCUUUGAAUUUUUUGUAUGUCAUUGUUUAGGUUAGUUUAGGCAUGGACAUAGUGUUUGCUAUUAAACUUAAGUAAAAUGUAUUUAAAAUGUAAAUUAUUUAAAAUGUAAAUUAUUUAAACGCUUUUAGCUAUUAGCUUUUAGUAUUCGAUAUUUUAGCUCGCUUUUUUCCAGUUAUGAUCUCAUUAAACUUAUUUAACAAGUUAGUAGAGCUACAUUUAAGCGAUGAGAACCCAAGAAACGGCUGGCCGGCUUGUUACUGUGUCAUUCUCUUGCUCCAGGAGAGUUUAACUGACUAAUGUUACACAUAACGAGGUGGUCAUGGGCGUCGUCUCUCUCUGACUGAGUCCGGUUUUGAACCUUGCAGGCAGUCCCGGUGCCCGGUGCCGAGGGCCAGUGCACAAAUCGUAUGGAGCUGCCUGACUCCGGCUGGAUCACUUCGUUUCAGUGGAGUUCAGUGGGUGAUGUGUUUGUCCUCAGUUAUUGUUAUUCUUGGCUGAACGUUAUGCCAGCCGUAAACACUGUUGUCGGUUUCAGUUUUGUAUACUGACACAGGUAGAAACUGAGAUCAUCGGUGUCCCAACCCAAACUGCUCCAACUGCCCCCCCCCCCCCCGACACGUGUCAACUCACGCAAGAAAAAACAUUGUUUGUUCUCCUUGGUAAUGUCUGCACAGCGCAAAAGCAUGUAGAUAGCAUAAUCACAGUAUACACUCUCUGUUUCCUGUGUAAAGCAACUCAGGCCCAAAAGUAGUGUCACAAGGUGUCACCCGAGACACAAGCACAGCUGUCAUCAGGAGAUGUCAUCAGGAAUUCAUAUGGCAACCUCAACAUACACUAAAACAUCUGGAUAAGACCUGGGGAAUGAUGACUCAAGACACCAUCCUCAUGUUACUGAUAGUGACAUACAUGCUGACAGGACCUCUGCUUGGAAACAAACCUCCCAAAUGAGGAAAACUUUUGUGUAUGGACCAGACAGCUACAGCCAGAGUUCAUGCUGCUAACCUUCAGCUUGCUACUUCUGUGGUUUUCUCUGGGUCAUCUUUUGGAAGGUCUCAAAGUUGCAGGGUGAUGAUGGGGUGCACUGCGAUGCAGGUAACAGAAGAAAUACAACUGUAUCCGUAGGCCCAUAUUUGAACCAGAGGGGCAGAUGACUUAAGCACAACAAGGAACCAAAGAAUGUGGCAGUAGAAGAGACCACUUCAGAAGAAACCAGAAGAUCAUGGCGUCACUACAGAGGAAAACACACAGUGGGUGUCUAGACCAACAGUAACAACCGCAUGUGCUGAUACCACCAUGUCCAAAGACCCAAUGUGUUUUGUCCAACUGAUGUCAACAGAGUGAAAGAUGUCCGUUUUUUUAAUCACAAGACAUGAAUCCUUAAAGUUCAUGCUCUCCAGUGGUGAAUUAGUCACUGCUGACCAACAUUUUUUGUUUUUCUGCCUACAAUAUUGGCAAUUUUAUGGCAAUUUUAUUCCUCUAUGUCAGCCAGCCCCAAACUUUUUACAUAUCAUAGUUACUUUUGUAUCAUCUAAUGGAGUAGAAAUCAGUUUUAGUCUAGUAAGAUUUAAAUAACUUUUGUUUGUCCAGUAAGGUCAAAAGGGAAGGAUAUUUUCACUAAUGCUGUCUUUCACAUCCCUAGUUGCACACACGUACCUGGUAGUGACGCAGAACAUUCACAUUCUCCUACUUUGGCCUCUGUGUAGCUCCCCUGGAGCUCUUGGGGGCUAAGUGCACCCCACUCAAGGGCAGUUCAAGAAUAGUUGUUGAGGGAAUGAUGGCUCAUAACUCAUUCCACUUCACCACUCUGAUUUUUUUAACUGGUUUGGGAAAUCAAAGCAGAAAUCUCCUGGUCUCAAGCUGCUCUAGAACAUUUCGGUUUUAUAUUUUUAAUAAAAACAUGUUUUCACUUUUUUCAUGUUUUACCCAUUUUAAAUUAAAUCUACAACACAAUAAUGUGUGCCAAAAGUGAAGGGGUCUGAAAUCUUUCUGAAGCCACUGUAUUUACAUCAGGUAAAUGUCUUUGAAAAUUCUCGUGUAGAGUGUAGAUACACAGGUCAGCAUUUUUCCUCAGCUAUUUUACUUCCUUUACUAUGAGGGAAUGUAUGGAUCUUGCAGAUAUUCUUUUAAUGUAUAGUAUAUUUUGUAAAAAGCAGGGAGUAACCUGAGGACCAAAGCUGGUGGUUAGAUUUCAACUCAGCAGUUCUGUGUGACAAAAUGCAUUCAUGACACCUGCAGGUGUAGUGUUCUGCUAACCAGACUCUGAUCCUUUCCUCCUGCAUCAUUCAUCCAUCAGUCCAGCAUUAGGUGUAGAGAGCAUAGCCUCUUUUCAUUUUUCAGUGCCCAUCAGAAGUGGUUACAUUCUCAUUACAUGCCUGCUGACCCUUUUGAAGACUGAAAUAAACUCUGAGAGUGUUGCAAGAAAAUGUCACUACGGAUAAAAUACAGCCUACCGCCUGAGCAAGAUUAAGAAGGCGAGAAAAAAGAGGGAUUACAUCAACAUCGUUUCGGUUUACCACUUCACACCCAGUGUUGUGAUGUUGCUGUGUAACGUGUCAUGUUUUUAUUUCAUUGACUGGAGAACUCAUGGUGACCAGACAACUGUCAAAACUGAUAUGCUUUGUAAGAAAAAAGGAAAUGAGACGCGAAAGGCAGAAAAGAAGGCGAGAAGGCAACAAGGUCAAAAUAAAGCAAACCACAGGACAGAUUGUGAUUAGAAAAUGAUUACUCUCCUGUAAGGUAGUUUUUUCUUCUCUUUAAGGUUUUAAAUGUGUAGCAAGUGGUAAAAUUUAGGGCAAGUCCAGCUUUUGAAACCUGUACUGAAUCACAAUGCUUCUACAAGUCUAUACAAUGCAUGUUUGAUUUAAGGAGCUACCAACGGCUGAAACAAUCAAUCAG